rnacentral:rRNA from 1 species
AUUGAACGCUGGCGGAAUGCUUUACACAUGCAAGUCGAACGGUAGAGGGGGCAACCCCUCGAGAGUGGCGAACGGGUGAGUAAUAUAUCGGAGCGUGCCCAGUCGUGGGGGAUAACGUAGCGAAAGUUACGCUAAUACCGCAUACGAUCUAAGGAUGAAAGCGGGGGAUCGCAAGACCUCGCGCGAUUGGAGCGGCCGCUAUCAGAUUAGGUAGUUGGUGGGGGAAAGGCCCACCAAGCCAACGAUCUGUAGCUGGUCUGAGAGGACGACCAGCCACACUGGAACUGAGACACGGUCCAGACUCCUACGGGAGGCAGCAGUGGGGAAUUUUGGACAAUGGACGCAAGUCUGAUCCAACCAUUCCGCGUGCAGGAUGAAGGCCCUCGGGUUGUAAACUGCUUUUGUACGGAACGAAAAGGUCUCUCUUAAUACGGGGGGCUCAUGACGGUACCGUAAGAAUAAGCACCGGCUAACUACGUGCCAGCAGCCGCAGUAA